UUAAGCGACUAAGCGUACACGGUGGAUGCCCUGGCAGUCAGAGGCGAUGAAGGACGUGCUAAUCUGCGAAAAGCGUCGGUAAGGUGAUAUGAACCGUUACAGCCGGCGAUGUCCGAAUGGGGAAACCCAGUGCAAUUCGUUGCACUAUCGUUAACUGAAUACAUAGGUUAACGAGGCGAACCGGGGGAACUGAAACAUCUAAGUACCCCGAGGAAAAGAAAUCAACCGAGAUUCCCCCAGUAGCGGCGAGCGAACGGGGAGCAGCCCAGAGUCUGAAUCAGCUUGUGUGUUAGUGGAACGGUCUGGAAAGUCCGACGGUACAGGGUGAUAGUCCCGUACACCAAAAUGCACAGGCUGUGAACUCGAAGAGUAGGGCGGGACACGUGGUAUCCUGUCUGAAUAUGGGGGGACCAUCCUCCAAGGCUAAAUACUCCUGACUGACCGAUAGUGAACCAGUACCGUGAGGGAAAGGCGAAAAGAACCCCGGCGAGGGGAGUGAAAAAGAACCUGAAACCGUGUACGUACAAGCAGUGGGAGCACCCUUUAGGGUGUGACUGCGUACCUUUUGUAUAAUGGGUCAGCGACUUAUAUUCUGUAGCAAGGUUAACCGUAUAGGGGAGCCGCAGGGAAACCGAGUCUUAACUGGGCGUUAAGUUGCAGGGUAUAGACCCGAAACCCGGUGAUCUAGCCAUGGGCAGGUUGAAGGUUGGGUAACACUAACUGGAGGACCGAACCGACUAAUGUUGAAAAAUUAGCGGAUGACUUGUGGCUGGGGGUGAAAGGCCAAUCAAACCGGGAGAUAGCUGGUUCUCCCCGAAAGCUAUUUAGGUAGCGCCUCGUGAACUCAUCUUCGGGGGUAGAGCACUGUUUCGGCUAGGGGGUCAUCCCGACUUACCAACCCGAUGCAAACUACGAAUACCGAAGAAUGUUAUCACGGGAGACACACGGCGGGUGCUAACGUCCGUCGUGAAGAGGGAAACAACCCAGACCGCCAGCUAAGGUCCCAAAGUCACAGUUAAGUGGGAAACGAUGUGGGAAGGCACAGACAGCCAGGAUGUUGGCUUAGAAGCAGCCAUCAUUUAAAGAAAGCGUAAUAGCUCACUGGUCGAGUCGGCCUGCGCGGAAGAUGUAACGGGGCUAAACUGUGCACCGAAGCUGCGGCAGCGACACUAUGUGUUGUUGGGUAGGGGAGCGUUCUGUAAGCCUGCGAAGGUGGCCUGUGAGGGUUGCUGGAGGUAUCAGAAGUGCGAAUGCUGACAUAAGUAACGAUAAUGCGGGUGAAAAGCCCGCACGCCGGAAGACCAAGGGUUCCUGUCCAACGUUAAUCGGGGCAGGGUGAGUCGACCCCUAAGGCGAGGCCGAAAGGCGUAGUCGAUGGGAAACAGGUUAAUAUUCCUGUACUUGGUGUUACUGCGAAGGGGGGACGGAGAAGGCUAUGUUAGCCGGGCGACGGUUGUCCCGGUUUAAGCAUGUAGGCGGAGGUUCCAGGUAAAUCCGGUACCUUAUUAACGCUGAGGUGUGAUGACGAGGCACUACGGUGCUGAAGUAACAAAUGCCCUGCUUCCAGGAAAAGCCUCUAAGCAUCAGGUAACAUUAAAUCGUACCCCAAACCGACACAGGUGGUCAGGUAGAGAAUACCAAGGCGCUUGAGAGAACUCGGGUGAAGGAACUAGGCAAAAUGGUGCCGUAACUUCGGGAGAAGGCACGCUGAUAUGUAGGUGAAGCCCCUGCGGGUGGAGCUGAAAUCAGUCGAAGAUACCAGCUGGCUGCAACUGUUUAUUAAAAACACAGCACUGUGCAAACACGAAAGUGGACGUAUACGGUGUGACGCCUGCCCGGUGCCGGAAGGUUAAUUGAUGGGGUUAUCCGUAAGGAGAAGCUCUUGAUCGAAGCCCCGGUAAACGGCGGCCGUAACUAUAACGGUCCUAAGGUAGCGAAAUUCCUUGUCGGGUAAGUUCCGACCUGCACGAAUGGCGUAAUGAUGGCCAGGCUGUCUCCACCCGAGACUCAGUGAAAUUGAACUCGCUGUGAAGAUGCAGUGUACCCGCGGCAAGACGGAAAGACCCCGUGAACCUUUACUAUAGCUUGACACUGAACAUUGAGCCUUGAUGUGUAGGAUAGGUGGGAGGCUUUGAAGCGUGGACGCCAGUCUGCGUGGAGCCAACCUUGAAAUACCACCCUUUAAUGUUUGAUGUUCUAACGUUGGCCCCUAAUCGGGGUUGCGGACAGUGUCUGGUGGGUAGUUUGACUGGGGCGGUCUCCUCCCAAAGAGUAACGGAGGAGCACGAAGGUUAGCUAAUCCUGGUCGGACAUCAGGAGGUUAGUGCAAUGGCAUAAGCUAGCUUGACUGCGAGCGUGACGGCGCGAGCAGGUGCGAAAGCAGGUCAUAGUGAUCCGGUGGUUCUGAAUGGAAGGGCCAUCGCUCAACGGAUAAAAGGUACUCCGGGGAUAACAGGCUGAUACCGCCCAAGAGUUCAUAUCGACGGCGGUGUUUGGCACCUCGAUGUCGGCUCAUCACAUCCUGGGGCUGAAGUAGGUCCCAAGGGUAUGGCUGUUCGCCAUUUAAAGUGGUACGCGAGCUGGGUUUAGAACGUCGUGAGACAGUUCGGUCCCUAUCUGCCGUGGGCGCUGGAGAAUUGAGGGGGGCUGCUCCUAGUACGAGAGGACCGGAGUGGACGCAUCACUGGUGUUCGGGUUGUCAUGCCAAUGGCAUUGCCCGGUAGCUAAAUGCGGAAGAGAUAAGUGCUGAAAGCAUCUAAGCACGAAACUUGCCCCGAGAUGAGUUCUCCCUGAGACUUUAAGUCUCCUGAAGGAACGUUAAAGACGAUGACGUUGAUAGGUCGGGUGUGUAAGCGUAGCGAUACGUUGAGCUAACCGAUACUAAUGAACCGUGAGGCUUAACCU
rnacentral:rRNA from 1 species